rnacentral:lncRNA from 1 species
GAAGCCCCGUGGGGACUUACUGUACCUGUGUCCACAUCCUUCACCUGUUGCCUGGCUAGAGUUGUCUGGCUCCACUUUGAGCUCUUGCAGAACCAGCCCUUUUUCGUGUGGUCCAGGAAAGUCCAUGCCUGGCACCACCUCCUCCUCUAGUGACUCCACGUAGAAGAGAGUCCUGGCUGGCUGCUGAGUGCCCUGCCCAGGAGCCCCUUGCUGCAGCCUCGUGGCAACUGGAAGCAGGGUGCCAUUCAGCGGAUUGAAGGAAGAGGAGGAAGAGGACGGGGAGGACGAUGAAGAGGAAGAGGAGGAAGGCUUCUUCCAGAAAGUGCUCACACCGCUUCUCUCUUGGCUUUUGAGCAGGCGACUCUGGCUGGGUCCCCAGUGCUCAAAGCUGCCACUGCCGUCCUGUUGCAGGCAGCCUCCCCCCGCCGGGCCGCCGGUGGAAGGAGACGGGUGGCUGAAGAGUUUCCAGCGGAGUCGCAGAAUGUGCUUCACAUCGAAGUCUUUUCGCCCAGAGCCUGACAUGCUUUACGCACAGAAGGCAAAAGGCUGGCAGCUCACGCAGGAGUAGGCUGGUCAGCAGGUGGGGGAGGACAGCGGGGCCCGGGGGCGGAGGAAGAGGCGGGAUGCGCCCUCUGCACCCCUAGAGCCAGAAGACGCUAGGUGGGCUGCGCGCUCUGCCAGGCGAAGGCUGGAGCGCAGACGGCAAAGCCGCGCGUUUCAGCCGUGGUCGGGUCCGCAGGACCUGGGCGUGGGGACACCACCAGGCAGGAGCAGAGGCAGGACUGGGACGCCAAAAGCUGAGAAUCCUCGAUGCCCGCGCGAGAGCCCCGUGUUAUGGCGAGGUGGGACAACCCUUAGGCUGGAGAUGCGCGAGGGAGGGAGGUCUGAGCGCUCCGAAGCUCCGGAGGCGGCUGCAGCUGGAUACACCUCACUGGGAUGCGCUUGUGGCAGAGCCUUAGUAGGGAAGGUGGUGGCGUUCUUGUCCUUGCAGCUCAGAGUUCAGUGUCUGGAGAGCGCAGAGAGAAAGAGCCCCAAGUCUCGAGGAAGCGUACCCCUCGCCAGAUCUCUUGGUGCACCUGCGCCCCUGUCCCUGGCCUUUUCGAGGAUGCCCCGAUAGCCUGCCGGGUGGCUCUGAGAAAGUCAAUUGCUUUCUGCAAUGCCAGAAGAGGUGGUUUUAUAUAGUCAGUUUGUAAAAGAGAAAAAUAGAUAUUCUAGCGCAUAUAGGGAGGCAAAAGAAAAAGCCCGCCUGUGAAGCUGUCAAGGUCCUCACAGUACAAUUUUCUCUCUGCCUCAGCGCCUCCUCCUCCCCUGUAAGUGACGCAGAUGUGCACUGGGGCCUAUACGGAGAGAUGGAGGGAGGGAGGGAGGGAGGGAAGGCUUCAAUCUUCUUUAUGCAAGUGAGACUGCUGCUCUUAUUGUCCCCUUGCGUGGGUCUUGUCACCUUUUUUCACCCUCCUUCCUCGCUACAUUACUGUGUAGCAAUACAAGGAAAGAAAACAGGCAUUAUGCUUUUGCAUCAGUAAACACCACACAUGAAUCAUGGCAGUGUAAACUUAAUAGGCUGCCAUCAGUUUGCAGGUUGCAGGUUAAUGGCUUGAAUUAUUUAAUGAACCGCGUCUUUUAACCUUUAGCCUUAGUUUCUCUGUAGUGAGACACAGAAGAAACGGAUGCUGGCGUCAAAAUGUGACGAUGCCACCAUCCUGACACUUACAUUGUGAUUCUGCUAUUAAGGCACCCAGGCACUGCUUCACUCCUGGGGCCAGAGGCGUACGGUAGAAAUUUGAAGAUGGGCAUCUGAACACGGGGGACGGGUUUUGCGAAAUCAGUGCAUUUGGUGUGUAGCCUCGGAAUGAAAGCUGUUAUCAGUGUAAAUCAAGAAUGGAAUAAAAUGAUAAAAGAGAAUUUCAAGGUAUAACCUUCUAGUACAUAAAUCAUUGUAUACUAUGCAUGGAAGAGUUUAGGCAAUAAAUGAGAAUAGCCGAAGGCUACUUACUAUCUUGCAAAUAGGCGUUUGGAGAAGAUGUGUUUUCCCCUUAUAUCUAUACUUAGAAUGGUGAGGAUUGCGAUCACUUUCAGUACAUGACUACUUGGAAUGUUUUAACCUUUCCUUUAAUGAGCCAUUAAGAUAGAACCCAGUAGUCUUUGUUGAAGGCAAAGGGACCAGAAAUGCAAUGUGUUCCCUAACUUAACCAAGAAUAUGGUUGUUGUCCAUUCAUGAAAUUCACAGUUUCAGUAACCCCCAACAGAGCAUAGGAAUCAACCACUGAAGUGCAGUUAGGCUACUGCUCAGUUACCCCCAAGGUUGAGCUGUAAACGUAACCAGAAACCAAAGCUAAAUUUGGAGUCCUUAGGCAAAGUUGGACGCUUUAAUAAAAUAAGAAAUUAAGUGCACAAAAGACCUAUUUUUAGGGGAAUAAAAAUCACUAUAGUGCUUUUAAAAUAUUGAUUUAUGCCACAACAGCUGGACUGCAAUCCCUUGUGCCUUGAUUUUUCUCUCAGUAUUCAGUGAUUUUUUGUUUGUUUUUUGUUUAUUAAGCAAAAAACCCUUUAAAGCCAACAAUGGUGACAGAUCAUUUUUAUCCAACAAUGGAAUCAAGUAAGCAUUUCCCUUAGGGAAGAAAAUAGUUUAUGAAAUUACACAUCACAAACAGGACAGAGGAAACUUUCCAUCAGAAAUAAUGUUGAAAGUUGAAGUGCAUGUAAUUAAUUUAUAUAGAAAUUAGUGCUUCAUGGAUUAUCUCACUUGAUUUAUUUAAAAUAAUAUAAAAUAACAUAAGUCAAGUCUCUGUAUCUAUAUUUUUCAUUCACCAUUCACAAACUGUAAUAUAAAAUUUAUUUGUUAUUCUAAAAUUUAAUUUUGCAGUUCCUUUUUCUCUGCAAUACUAAUAAGAAUAUUCCACAGUUAAAAGUUAUAUGUUUAAAGGACAAUAUUUUAUAUGACCCAAAGGAGAUAUAACAUUAAUUUGUGGUAUAAAGGAACAUGAAUUAAAAAUAUUGUCACAUUUAGCAGAUGGUGAAUAAAGCCUAUUUGUUAGUCUUGUAGUAACAUUUAGUAUGUUUAAAGCACUGCCAGAGCCAAUUAUGUAAAUAUAGGUACCUUUCUAUAUUUGUCAAUCUUAAUACAAUAUAUAAGUUUGAAAAAAUCACUCUUCUUGGGAAUAUAUUUAAAUAAAAUUCAACUUUAUUAUCAAAUGAAAAUAUUUCGAAUUUAAGAAUUAAAUUACGCAUGAAGUUAUGUUAAACUGAAAUGACUGACAAAGAUGAUUAUAUUAUUUUCACUUGAUUGUUACCAUACUACAGUGUUGUAGAAAAGGAAGGAGAAAAUAAAACAAGAAAAAAAAAUGGAAGAAAGAGAGGAAAGUGAGAAGGACGAGAAGAGAAGGAGAAAAAAGAAAGAGGGAGAGACUGCGAGAGAGGGAAAGACAGAGACAGGAAAGGAGGAAGGAAAAUAAUUUGGUUGGAUAUUAUGGCUUAACCUGGCAUAUUAGAUAAAAUCCUUGAAAAAUAUACUUUGUAAAAUACUGCACUAAUUAAUUUAUCUAUUAUUCAAAAAUAAAAAACUUUGAUUGAUCACUUAGGUCCAAUGUAAACUAGUAACAAAUAUGAAGGAAUUGGUCCCAUGCAGCUUGCUGGAAGAACCCACAAAAGAGGACUGUUUAACCAGCCAUAAGUAAUAAUUGACUUGUGAGUCAAUUAAAUUAAGAUUUAAGAUAACCAAGCUUAUAGGCAAGAAGACAUUGACAUAAUAAAGACCACUUUUAACAAUCCCAACAAACACACUUUGUUUUAAAGACAGAAACUAUUUAAUUAUUCUAACACUAUUGAAUUAAAUUGAACUGUCAGUUGAAUCAAUCAGAGUCUUUCAAAUGAAUGUCCAUAUGGUUGCCAUAGUUUCCUGAAACACUAAGCAAAAAGGUUAAUCGGGAUACAGAAAAUCUGUAGAAUGCUCAAGUAUUUACUGUAAUACACAAAUACAAAACUCUUCGCAUAAGUAUUAAGUCAAGCAUGGGUGUAAAAUGUAUCACACUGAAAGUUUCUACAACUCAAAUAUUUAAACAAUAAGCAAAAUUGGCUUUGGAUCUGUUUUAGUCCAUUAUCUGUUACUUGUAAUAGAAAACCUGAAGGUGGGUAACUUAUAAAGAUAAGGAAUUUAUUUAUUAUAGUUAUGGAGGCUGAGAAGUCUAAGUUCUAGAGGCUGCAUCUGGUGAAGGUCUUCUUCCUGGUGGGGACUCUCUGCAGAGUCCUGGAGCUGCACAGGCAUCAUAUGGCAAUGGGGUUAAGCAUGCUGUCUCAGGUCCCUCUUCCUUUUCUUAUAAAGCCACUAAUCCCACUUCCAUGAUAACCCAUUAAUACAUUAAUUCUUGAGGUUCUGCCCUCGAGACCCAAUCACCUCCUAAAUGCCCCCCUCUCAAUAUUCCACAACAGAGAUUAAAUUUCAACAUGAAUUUUGGAGGGGACAAAAAUUCAUACCAUAGCAGAAUUCAAGAAUUUUCUAGACUGAAAGCUUCUCACUUUUAGUGACUAUUUUCUAAACAAGCACAAUUAAAUGUAUACUUUUCCAGGAAAAGCAAUUUUUUUUGUAUCUUUUUGGCAGGCCUUCUGCAAUGCCUAGAAAUUUCUUCUACAUGAUAAUACUCAACAAAAACAUUUGAAUGGCUAAUUAUGCUCAAAUUUGAAAGUUCAUGCCUUAAAAUGGCUCCUGUGAUUUUGUCUUUGAUUAAUUUUAAUAAGAUGUAUUUAUAUACAUUUUAUUAGUCAAUUUUUGCACUGCUAUAAAGACAUUCCUGAGACUGGGUAAUUUAUAAAGAAAAUAAGUUUAAUCAGCUCACAGUUCUGCAGAGUGUACAGCCUUCUGCUUCUGGGGAGGAGGCCUGAGGAAACUUAUAAUCAUGGCAGAAGGCAAAGGGGAAGCAGGCACGUCCUACGUGGCUGGAGCAGGAAGAAGAGAGAGCUAAUGUAAAGGUGCCACACACUUUCAAAUAACCAGAUCUCAUGAGAGUUCUAUCAUGAGAACAGAAAGAUGGACGCCCACCCUUAUGAUUCCAUCACCUCACACUAGGAUCCUACUCUAGCACCGGGGAUUAUAAUUUGACAUGAGAUUUGGGUGGGGACACAGAGCCAAACCAUAUCAUACAUUAAUAUAAAAUAUUAUUUAAAAUUAGAGAAUACCAUUUAAAAUAAUUAUAUAGAACUUUUAAUGUAUACAUUAAAUAAAAAUUGUUUUGCAGUGACUUUUUUUCCCAAAAUGAUUGAAACAUAAUAUCAUAUAGCACUAAUGCUAAGUUAUCCCAUGCAUAAUCAAGGGUUCCUACCUCUUAAAACAAAUACACAUAACCAUUCAUGGUCUAUUAAUCUUCAUUACAGUAUAGUUAUAGUUUACUUAAGUGUCAAUUAAGUGACUGCUUAAUAAACAUUUGUAGGUAUUCAUUGAUCCCCAGGGGCCAUUUUAAUCCACUCAACCUCCUUGGUUUAUUUGACCUUUUGAUUUAGAUCUGGCAAUACAUUUGUAUAGUUGAGGAAUUCUUAUAUAAAUUGCUGAGUUAAUUUCAUUAGUAUGUGAAUUCAAAAUGGCAUUAAAAUAGUGAAUUUCUAUUAAUGAUGAGCCAGGUUUUAUUUGUGUGUCUUUUUAUUUCCCAAAAUUCUGUGCAGAAUAUUGACAGUGGUUUAUGAACAUUCAUUAUUUUCACUUUUGUGCUGGGUCCUGUCUGGUUAAUCACACUGCUGAGGGACUUUAUAUAUAUAAUUUUUUUUUUUUUUUUUUUUGAGAUGGAGUCUCGCUCUGUCGCCGAGGCUGGAGUGCAGUGGCGUGAUUCCUGCUCACUGCAACCUUCACCUCCUGGAUUCAAGUGAUUCUCUUGCCUCAGCCUCCCAAGUAGCUGGGACUACAGGCACCACCACCACACCCAGCUAAUUUUCGUAUUUUUAGUAGAGACGGGGUUUCACCAUAUUGGCCAGGUUGGUCUCAAACUCCUGACGCUGUGAUCCUCACAUCUUGGCCUCCCAAAGUGCUGGGAUUACAGGCAUAAGCCACAGCGCCUGGCCUAUGAUGUGAUUUUUAAAACACUUUCUAUCCCUUUUAUGAAAAUAUUUAUAGAUUGAAAACAAAUAUAUGUAGACAUAUAGAUAUAGAUAAAUGUAAUAUACAUAUACAUUUAAUAAGUAUUUCAAGGAUAUUUUCUAAUGAGUAAAACACAUUUGAUGGCAUGAUAUCCUAUUUUGUAUAACACUAGAGUCUUUAAAAAAGAAAACUGCUUAACUAAUACUUAUUUACAAAGGGUUAAGAUUUCCCUAGCAUUAAAAAAGUAAUUUCAUUAUUUUGUAUAUUGCACUGAAAUUUGCCUGUAUCACUGUGGGGUAAGGUGAGUCCCCUGAAACUUUAAUCAGGAUGAUCAAAAUAAAAUAGUAAGAUUAUAGUUUAUAAAAUACAGAUUUGGAAGUUAUAGGAGUGUAAGAUAUUCAUAUAAAUAUAGAUAAAAUAGUAUAACUUUGUGGAUAUUUUAUUUUCUGUUGUCUCUUUUGAGACAUGGGUUUUUGGAGACUUUAAAAUAUUUUCUCAAAUCAGGUUACUACAUUUCUCUUUCCAUCUUGAGACAUAUUUGCCAAAACUUUAUAUUUUCAUUCACCUGCAUUAUUACCAGAUCUUUUAAAAAUCUAGGACAAAAAUGCAUGGCUUUAAAAGCUAAGAUCUAGUUUGUCUUAACAUAAUUCUAAUUAUGGAUGUAACGUAAAUUACAAAUAGUUUUCAAAUGCUCUUUUUCCCACAAGUUUAUGUGUAAGGAAUAUGUGAAGUUAUAACACCCCAAAACAACAUUUUUUAGUUAAUCUGUUUUAGAAAUAGUACUGUGAUUUUUAUUUCAAAUAAAUUAUAUAUUCAGAGUAUUGGGAAGAUUAUUCUAAGAAAUCAAAUUACUUUGAAACAUUAUUACUAGAAGUAAAUUGGCUUCCAAAAUCUAAUUUGAAAAUCACAACUUGACACUUAAUAUAUUUUCCUCAGUUUUACACCCAGUCAGGAUGCUUUUGGCUCACCAGUCCCAAAGAAUAUUACUUGUCAGCCCCAUGGGAAGCUAACAAGUUGACCCUUUGCCUUGAAGACUGUCUCCUGCAAAUGUGGUGACCUCUCCCUUUCUGUAUAACUCUAGUCACUGGCCAUCAUGGCACAUGUAAAUUCUCUUUCUUUAUUGCUCAAAGGAAAUAUGACAUGGACUUCACACAAUAAUAUACUAAAGUCUAAAAAAUAUUAAAACAGAUAAAUCUGUAAAUUAAAGCAUACAUAUAAUUAUUGAAAUCAUAGCCUACUUAAGAUUUCAUGUGAUGUCUAGGACAAAAUUACAAGUAAAAUAAUAGCGGCAAAAGGAAUGAUGAGUUUUCAGAUUAUAUUACAUUCUUUAAAUUUCUUCACACUAGAUAGAUUCCCAGAUUAAACAUAGAGUAUUUUCUUCAACGGUUAUGUAUGAAACAUUUUAUACAUCAUAUUAUUAUUUUCUUCUUAGUUGGAUAAUGACUCAAGAAACUAAGAAAGGAACUAUUAUUUUAUGACAUCCUACCAAGUGCCAGACAAUGAUUUCAUUCUAUCUUGAUACAAAUCUUAUUUAGGUAGGCAUUAUAAAACAGGCUUAAUAUGAAAAGAAGUAGAAUCAACUGGCCACUAAUAUUUUCUUAUAUUAAUUGUUUUAGAUACUCCUCCAUAAGCCGUACUUUUUCUCCUAUUUUAAAAUUAACGUAUGAGAACUAAAAAAAAUGACAAACUCAUUAAAGGCAGAGAUUCUCAAUAUCAUUUCCUCAGCUGUGUGAGCUCUGCUUGAAUAGAAGAGAGACUCCUGGUAUUCUCAAAAUUGAGCUCUCUUUCUAACGUGUGUGUGUGUGUGUGUGUGCAUGUGUGGGUGUGUUAGUCCCUUUUGUGCUGCUAUAACAGAACACUACAUACUGGGUAAUUUAUAAAUAACAUAAAUUUAUUCUCUCAUAGUUCUGGAGGCUGGGAAGUUCAAGACCAAUGCACGAGAAUUUGGUCUAAAGAGAAUCUUCUUGCUCUGAACACACAUAGUAGAAGGCAGAAGGGCAAGAGAGAGAACAAAGUCUGUGUCUCCACAUGGCAGAAGAGCAGAGGAGACAGAACCUACUCCUGUAAGUCCAUUUUAUAAUGUCAUUAAUCCAUUCACAGGGAGGGAGUCCUCAUGACAGAAACACCUCCCAAAAGGCUCACUUCCCAACACUGUGGCAUUAGGGAUUAAGUUUCCAACAGAAGAAUGUGAAGAAAUAAGUUCAGACCACAGCAGUGUGUAUUGUUUUCAAGUCUAUAUGUAUGUUUGUGUAUUUGUGUAGAUACAUGGGUGGCUAUAUCUCUAUAGAAACAAAAGUAAUGGUUUUUUUGGGGGGGCAACACAUUUUGGAAAAUGAAGAUGGUCUUACUAGACUAGGAUGGUUCUGCAGGGCAAAGAACAUGUCUUAUUUAAUUUUGAAUUCACAGUGUCUAACUGUCUAUCAUGGCAUGAAACACCAGUAAAUAAUGGAUGGUUUUGAGUUUAUCAUAAUGAGAAAUGGAUAAGAGUAAUAACACUUUAUAGUGGAGGAGAGGUCAGGAAACAUAUAAUACUUUUUUUAAAAAGUACUGUGAAACUGUGGUUCUACAAUUAUUUAGUAUGAAAACAAAUAGAAUUAUAAAAAUAGUGGUUUCAGAAUAUUUUGGUGCCCUCAUUUGUAUUUCUAAAGUACUAUAAAAUACUCAAGAAAAAUUAAGCAUAUAUUAUGUAUAUUCAGUUUAUCAAACAGGAAAUGCAAUGUGCAAGUUAGGAAGUGCUUUUAUUGUAAUUCUCAAAAUUGUAUUUUUAAAUCAAGAAAGAAAUCUUCACAUUUAAAUCCAUAAGCUUUAGUUACAUUAAAAAUUCAGUCUCUGCAUUAUCAUCCUUUCAUUUAUUCAAACACAUUUUUUAUUGAGCACUUACUCUGUGCCAAGCCAUGUUCAUGGUGAUGGGGGUGUAUCAGUUAAAAAAAAAAAAAAGUAGACCAAAAUCUGUGCCCUCAAGCACCUUACAUUCUUGAGGUGAGAGAUAGAAACUAAAAUUCAACAAAUAGUAAGUGUAUCAGAUAAUGGAGACAUCAUCCAGGGAGAUAAAUAAACCAUGGAAGAAAUACAGAGAGUUUUGAAGGAAAGGGGGGCUGAGCUUUAAGUAAUCUAUGUGCUUAAGCUCCACUGAUAAGGUGGUAUUUCUCCUGUGUCCAAAAAUAAGUGAAAGCAUGGACUGUUCGUGUAUGAGCGACAGUGCCAUAGCAGAAGGAAUAGAAAAGCAAGGGCCUGGGGCCAUGAUAAAGUUUGGUGUAUUUAAGGGGUAAUAAGUACUAGAAGCGAGUGAGCAGAAACGAAACGAGCUCUAUUGGAGUUCAAGGAGGCAGCAGACAAGAUACCAGAUCACUUACAGGAUCUUUUAAGCCAGUGCACAAAUAUUAGUUUUUAUUCUGAAUGAGAUGGAAAGCCAUUGGAGGAUUUGGAGCAUUGGAGUGAUAGCAUCUGACUUCCAUUUUCUAAGAUCACUCUGGCAGAUGUGAUAGGAAUAAACAGAAGAAAGCAAGGUAGAGAAAAGAAAAACAAUGGACAGACUAUAGAAUAAAGAAUCUAAGAGAUGAUGUAAAUGUGGACCAGACAUUGUUGCCAGGUCUGGCAUUCAUAGGGAAUCGAUUUUCCCUAAAGUUCAUGGUCUUUUUCUUUUCAUUUUUAGAUGGGAAGCUAUGUUAUAGAUAGUCUUGUCUAUCUUUUACUCCCCUAAAAUAACUAAUUUCCCUAUUUUUUUCUGUUCUUCACUGAUGCAGAAUGCUCACAUAAACCUAAAGCAUGUUCAGGUCUUCCUCGGCUAUAUAUUCCUACAAGAUAAAGUAAUUUAUAUUUUACCCUGAUUUACAAAAGAGGGUAUAAACUUGUACUUAUGCAACAUGAAUAUGUUUUAUACCUAAUUUACGGCAUAAGGACUAUAGUCAACAAUGUUCUAUUACACUAGAAAGUUGCUAAGACAGCAGAUUUGGAUGCUCUCAUCUCUCCCUGUCUCUCUCCUUCUCUCUCACACACAUACACAUAUGCACACACAAAAGUAACCAUUUUAGGUGAUGAAUAUGUUGAUUUGCUUAACUGUGGUAAUCAGUUAACUAUAUAUACCUAUAUCAAAACAUCAUGUUGUAUACUUUAAAUAUAUACAAUUAUAAAAAUGAAAAAAACUAUGCUUUUUCCUGGUGCAUUUCAAAUUUAGCUAGAGGGAUAAUCAAAGCUCUUCCUCACUCUUCAAGGAUUGACAAAAAUGCUAUGGGCAGUGCAAGAAGUCACAGCUUGAGCAGUGCAUCCUAUAAAGAUAUUUGCAUAAAGCAUUUAAAUUAUAACAUUUGAAAAACAGUAUGUGCAUUAUUCCUCCUAGUUGCCUACUGACUGGAAAGCAACAUUGUAGAAUGGAACGUCACAGGCUUUGAAAUCAAAUCAUGACCCAAACCCUUCUCUGCUGCUUACAAUUUGUAUAACCUUGGGCAAAGUACUUAAUUUCUUUGAGUCUCAGCUUUCUUAUCUGCAAAAUAGAAGUUAACGUGUAGGUCAAAUAAAAUAAAACCUGUUAAACAAGUAGCACAUUGUUGGUGUCUAAGUAAAGGUAGAUAUUGAUGUUUACUUUGAAAAUAUUUGUAUAUUUAAAUGACCUUUAUAUUGUUGUAAAAAAAAGUUUAAAAAUAAAGCUUUCAAUACUUAGUUGGCUUUGCAACUUUCAAAGGCAUUUUGUAAAAUAUCCAGAUUACUAUUCACUUGAGUAUUCACAACAUAGAAUCACUGAUUAAUCACAACAUUGAUUUUUUGGUGAGCUUGUAGUUUUGUAAGUCAAUGACAAAAAUUGAAAAUCAAUCUUUUACAUUAUUUUGUUCUAGGAAUAGUCAGAAUUCAUAGAUGUCUGCAUAUUAGGGAUAUUCUAAAAUCAUUUCAAGUAGGAGAACUGUAAUAAAAUAUUUGCUUCAGUUGACAAAUCACUUAAGUUAAUUUUAUCCUCUCCUGUGAGUUGGGAGAAUAAUGAGAAGUUAAUGAAUAAGUAAUUUAGAUUACAAAAAAAAUCUUGGCAAUAGUCUGUAAGGAACUUAACAGAAAUGACAUUUCACUAAGUAAAUCUCUGAUAGUGUGAGUGAAACAAUAAAUUUUACUAGGAAAACUAGAGGUUAUUUUGUCAGUUAUGAAACCUGACCAUUAAUAUUUAUUGAACUGGGUAUAUGGAAUUUAUGGAUAUUAUCUACCAGAUAUAAUGCAUUAUAAAGCCAUCAUUGUGGGAUUUUUUGUAGAAAAAAAAUUUAUUCAAAUGACAUGCUAGUCACAUUUCUGGUUUUGAGUAAGAAUGCCAUAUAUACAUAUAUGCAUUUAUAUAUUUCAUUUAUACAUAGAGAGGAAGAGAGAGAGAGACUGGAAAUUUUUUUAAAAAAUUAAUUUGUUUCAAAGAAACAGGCUAUCAGUAAGCUAACUUUUCUACACUUAUGUUAUUUUUAUGACUAUCACAGAAUGCUAGAAUAAUUUGUAUUAUAAAAUAGACUUAAAAUUUCCUCUGAUUUUGUAGAUUCCUGCCUGUGGAAACUAAAAUUGGCACUUAUAUUCAACAGAACAAGCUUACCAGAAGAUUCAUUUAUUAUUUCUGAUAUACUCUUACAGAUAUAUACUUUUUUUUUUUUUUGAGACAGAGUUUAGCUCUUGUUGCCCAGGCUGGAGUGCAGUGGCACAAUCUUGGCUCAGAUAUAUACUUUUAUACGAGCAUUGCAAACCCAGACUAUAGAUUUCUGGCACUCAAAAAUAUGUCAAGCCAUGGAAAGCUAAUUGAAACCACUGAAUAUUUCAAUAAAUCAAUCAGUCAGUAUUGAGAAUCAGCUGUGUGCUCAGCCCUGUGCAGUCAAGUGGACAGGGACAUAUCUUGGCAGAAGACAGACACACACAAAAGAAGGAUUGUAAAGUCUAACUAACCCCACAAAAAGAUGUUUUAAACCCUUACUCUUAUAAUAUACAUACAGCUUAUGCAUCAGUUUUUCACAAUUAUUUCUCAUGCUUGUCUCUCAAACUUACAAAAAUGAGGUCAGAGAGGCCUAGUUAGCAAUCACACAGUUCUCUAGCAAUCACACAGUCAGCCCUACAGGAGUCCAUUUUUUUAACAAGAGAGAAUUUUACAGGCUAUAGAGAGUUAUAAAAUUUUAAUUUUCAUAUGCAACAUAAUAACUCUUAAAGUUGCUUACUUUCUCUUAUAAGAUUGUCUUUCUCUGACCCAGUUCUGAGCCCCAUUUUCCUCUGCUCUGGGUUGUGAUCUCUAAUAAAUCUUUAGAGUAAAGCUGUUAUUACAGUGUGAACUGAUUGUUCUCUAUUCAAAUGAUAUCGUGUGUAUACAUGCACAUGGAGUUUGAAGGGAUUCAAAUUACAGUGAAUAAUAAAAAUCAAUAACUUUAAAGUGAAAAAAAUACAGGUUGAACAUCUGUAAUAUGAAAAUUCCAAACCCAAACAGUUCUAACAUCUGGAACUUUUUGAAUGAUGACCUGAUGACAUAAGUGAAAAAUUUAGCACCUGACUUCAUGUGACAGGCAGAAGUCAAAACUCAGUCAAACCUUUUUGUCAUGCUCAAAAAAACUUGAAUAUUAUGUAAAAUUAUCUUCAGACUAUGUGUAUAAAGUCAGUGAUUAUGAAACAUGAAUGAAUUUCAUGUUGAAACUUGGGUUCCAUCCACAAGAUAUUUCAUGAUAUAUAUGCAAAUAUUUCACAAAAAAAAAUGCAAAAUCUGAAAACAUUUAUGGUCCCAAGCAUUUUGGAAUAUGUAUAUUUAACCUGCAGUUUACAUUUACUUAUUUUUGACAGACAGUAGUAGUUCAACUCAUGUGACACGUAAGAAUUGAUAGGCAUUAAAAAGGUAAAUAAUUUAAGUGGAAUCAACUUAUAGCAGACAUUGAACUCCACAUAUUUGCAAUUUUUUCUUGUUAUUUUAUCAUUACCAUGGAGGUUAUGGGAGUUUUAAGGUGUCAGUGACCCACAUUACCUUUAAUAUGUCCCCUUUCAAUAGGAUAUCCCAAAAGAAAAUAAAAAGGAAUUUUAAGAAUGUUAAGAUAUAGUUGAGCAAUGGUUUCAAUGAUGUCAAAAAGAUUCAGGAGAACUACUAUACAAAAAAUAGAGAAUCAGUAAGGAGAAAUCUGCUGAUGGCCUUUAAUUAAGUUAGUGAUUUAACUAAUGUAACAUUUGGUUAGAACAAGACCAUCUAAUAUAGACAGAGUUAAAUUUUUAAUAAUAAUUUAGACUAUUAGGAGGAGGCCAUCAAAUAUUUGUCAUUAAAUUGUUGGAGUCUAUUCAGUCAUGGAACAAGUAUUUACUGAACACUUGCUUUAGGCAUAUAACCAUGCACUAUAAAGCAAGCUUCCACUAUCCAUACAGAGCUUGCACUUUAUUUAGUGAGAAAAACCGUAAAGAACUAAACAAUAAAAAUAGCUCAAUGUUUUGGUAAGUAACCAUUUGGUGAGGUGGAAAAUGACAAUGCACUGACAGUUCUCUGCUUUAAAUAAAAUCUGCACAUAUACACCAUGGAAUACUAUGCAGCCAUAAAAAAUGAUGAGUUCAUGUCCUUUGUAGGGACAUGGAUGAAGCUGGAAACCAUCAUUCUCAGCAAACUAUCACAAGGACAAAAAACCAAACAUCACAUGUUCUCACUCAUAGGUGGGAACUGAACAAUGAGAACACAUGGACGCAGGAAGGGGAACAUCACAAACCGGGGCCUGUUGUGGGGUGGGGGGAGGCGGGAGGGAUAGCAUUUGGAGAUAUACCUAAUGUUAAAUGACAAGUUUCUGGGUGCAGCACACCAACAUGGCACAUGUAUACAUAUGUAACUAACCUGCACGUUGUGCACAUGUAACCUAAAACUUAAAGUAUAAUAAAAAAAAAAGAGAGAAGCCAUCCUUGUCAACUUGAGGUUAGAACUGAUCUAAAGGAGAGAAAAGAUAAAAAAUAGAAUAAGAGAUAGAAAAGACAAAGAGAAUAAAUAAAUGGAAUCUGAAAAAUACAAGGAAAUGAUCAACAUAAGAGCAGGAAACCUCACAAAUUAGACAGGGAAUGACUACUGAAAGCCACUCGGGUAGCAAAGAGGAUGGGAUAUCAAAGGAACAUAAAGAUCACUGCUCAUGAUAGUGUGGGAGGAGAGGGAAGAGAUAGUGUUAGAGAGUUUUAUUUCAUAGCAUAGAGUUUGAUUUUAAUUCUAUCUCCAAUAGAAACUGAGUGAAGUCUUUCAAGGAGGGAAAGGGUGUAUAAUUUAAGAUUUUAAGAAAGGUGACCUGUAUUGGAUUAGAGAAAGUAAGAGUCAAAAGAAAGAAAUGAAUCAUCCGGAAAUAUUUUUUUUCUCCACCCAGAGACUCAAUAAUGUAGCCAAGAAUCAUUCAGUAACAAGGUUCAGAAAUAAGAAGCUGGAGGGUAUUAAUGCUUUCAUUCAUACAGAUGAGCUCUCUUAAUUUAGGAAAUGUAGAACUAGAAUUGAUAUUUCAUAAAUAGAUAUGAUUUACAGCACAAGAAAUUGUAUAUUCUCAAGUACUUUAACAUAUAUUAUCUUAUGUUAUAAACUGUGAUGACUUUUAAAAGGAAAAUAGCGAUCUUUAGAAGUGAGAGUAAAGGUAAGAUCUUAGAGAUGAGAAGCAGCACACCAUGGGAAAAGCAAGAAGAAGGAGGAAUGUUAUGUGCAAUUAAUCGGGUCAGGAAAGAGAUUGGUAUAAUGAAUGAAUUGAAAGGAUUUUGUGGGAUGAAGUAAAUUUGAAAGACAGCAGUGGCAGUUAUUAAUAUUUUUAGAUUAUUAAUCUAAAGAUUUAAAAAUUAUAUAACCUGUGCACAUUUUUUAUUUGUGUCUUGCAUUUUUAGAAUUAUGUUCUAGAUAUCCUGAAAGCACCAUACCACACUAAUCCCUUCUUGCACAAAUUGAGGAAAGAUGUUCAUAAUCCACAAUGCUUUAUCCCAAGAAAGAACAAUAGAUUUUAAACCUAUAUUGCCAAUAUAGGAGUGCAACUGACAUGUGUCCCAGAAAUUGUACCUGGGAAAACUCAAAAAUUUUACUCUACCACCAUUCUAGCCUCAAUUCCUCUGAAGAUUAACUCAAUUCUAUUGUCUUUUGUUCAUCUAGUAUUACAUCUUUAACUUACAAUUUAAACUUCCUAAAUGCAAAGUUUUCUAACACUAAAGCAUUAGUAGUCCAUUUUGUCUUACGAUUUAACUUGAGAGUUAUACAGCUCUAAAUAAAAUGUUAUUGUAAAUACUUAUAAAUCCUUGAAAAUUAACUGAAUAAAACAUGCAAUGUCAUUCAUUAUCUCCUGUCCUUCUUAGAGAGAGAUCUACAUCAAAAUUAUCUCAAAGAGAAGAUUCAUAAAACAAAUGUGUACGGCUGAGAAAUAAAUAAACUGAAACUCUCCAUGAGUCAAAAUGACAUUUCUUCUAAUGUUUAUAAAAGAAACAUAAAUAUUUGUACAUUUUUAUGAAACUAUGGUAUGUAUAUUUGAGGAUUCUUUCAAAACAGUUUAUGUAAAACGUAAUAGAAUUCAACAAGUCCAAAGAUAAGAAAUUGAAAUAAGGAAGGGUUCAAGGAAAUGACUCAAAGGGAGAGAUACAAAGAUAGGCAUUUGAUCUUGGUUAAAUGAGAGGAAUAUUAUAAAAAUCUACCAAAAUCUGAAAAUGAUACAGAUAGAUCUUACUCUGAAAGCAACCAGACCUGGAUUUUAAUUCCAGCUCUAGAACUUACUAACUUGUGUAAACUUGAAAUAAUUCCAAAUUCUCUUAGAGACUUUGUUUUCUAAUUUGUAAAACUGAAAUUAUAAUACUUCACAAGCUUUUGUGGAAAAAUAAAUUAAAUAUAUAUUUUAUCAUAAGGUUCAACAUAUAGAAGUUACUGAGCAAAUAUUAAUCUAGGUCUUCCUAUAUCCUGUCUCUAAAUCGAAAUUCUCCAUGAUAAAUACAUUAUUAAGUAAUAAGUAAAUUGCAAAACUCUUAGAUUUUGCCAGAUACUAUAGAUAGAAAAUAUUACUGAAGUUUAAAUAUUGAAAUAAUUUACUGAUGCCCAUAAGUUGUAACUAAUUGAAGUUGAUGUCAAGGAAUAAUUGUGCAUCUUAACAAUAAACUCUUUAAUGGCAAUUUUAGAUUAUUACAUUGAUUAACUAAUAGUAAAGUACAGCAAGAUUUAUGUUGUCAAAAUCUUUGGCCAUCAUCUCUAGUCACUAGAGUGAAUAUUGAGAGUAAAUGUGAAGAAUGUUCAAAGUUGUAUUUACUAUUGAAGGUAUUACCUAUUUUUAGUGUGAACACCCCUAUGUUCCUACGACAUAGCCUAGGUGUAAAGGUCACCUUGUGAAGGCAGUGGACAGUUGGUGAAGGCUUGUACCACUGUAACUCUGCUAAACUUAGAAAAGAUCUGAAAAUACUACUGAUAGGUAAGAUCCUAUAUUCUGUCCACAAAAAUCAAAUGAGAACUAUUUGGGUAAGGGAAAAAAAUCCCAAAUAUAUUAUGUUAAGCCAAUAACAAUUCACCAUUAAGUAAUGAAAAAUACAUAUCAAAAAGAGAAGUCUAGGAAGAAAGGAGUUAUUUGUACACAGAAAAUUCUCAUAAUAAAUAUUUAACUUAGUGCCUGAGGUUGUCACCAAGGAUCUCACUUUUUGAAUUAUUGUAUUUAUUUAAGAUCAGAAUAUAUAAAGAAUAUAUAACAUUGGUGUUAUUUGUAAUUUACAGUUCAAUCGCUAAAAUGUCAUUUCAGAGUAUGUUAAAUUUAAGGUGUAGGCUUUUUGAAAAUAAGAUUUUCCUUGAUGAAAUACAAACAGGAUUGAAUUUAUUUUGUUAAUUUAAUUUGUACAUAAUAGAUUUAGAGACACGACAUUAAAUCUAGUGAAAAGCAUUUGUUAUUAAAUUUCACAUGCCAUUUUUCUUUAUAUUAUUUCCUUAGCAUUUAAAGAAAGUAUAAAGAACAUACAGUCCUGUAUUAUUUUUUGCCUUUGUGUAUUAGCAAGUAACCAUCAUUUCCCAAGCAAAUAUUGGUGGGCGGUCUCAGCUCUUUCCUUCCCAAAACAUUAAAUAAUUAAUAAUGUCACCUGCUUCACACUUUUGUGAAACCUAUUCUAGAUGCUUUAUAGCACUUACAUCCUUGUGGGAAAAGAUACACAAGCAAAUAUAUAAGUAAAUAAUGUCACGAGGUUGUGUGCAGAAAAAUGAAGCAACCAAAUAAAUAGAGAAUGCUGAGUGGAGCUGCAACAGCUACAUUAGAUACUAUGGUUAGAGAAAGCCUCUCUGAUAAGAUGACAAUCAAGAAAAAGCCUGAAUAAAUAGGUAGGAGGGUGGACGGGAGUUUAGCAGUUACCAACAGGCAUGAGGGAAGCAAUUGAAAAGACUUUAGCCAUGUGUUUGGUACCUUAGAAAAACAAUAAAAGGGAGGGAAAGUAAUUAAAUGAAUGACUCAGUUAACUGUGAACUCUAGUGAUAGAAGAUCUCAGUAGCACUCAAUCCCCUUGUUUUUUGUUUGUUUGGUUGUUGUUAUUGUUUUUUUUCCCCGGAAAUCUGGUUUUCCCCAAGCCUCGCCAAUCAAUUCACUAUUUUUUUCAACCACUAAUUACUGAAGAUAUAUCGUUGUCAUCUCCUUUGUACACUAAUAGUCUAGCUUUGAAAUACAGAUAUAUAAUUGCUUGCAUAGCCAAUCUUCUAUUUAAUUACCUUUAAAGGAUUUUUAAUUUCUUCUUUAUUCUCUUUCAUUUAAUGUUAUUCUACAAUGUGUGUAAUUUGAGGGUUUUUUUUUUUUUGGCUUGCAUUCAUUCUAAUUUAACUCAAUGGGCUGUGCUGAAGUUCUUAGUGGUUGUGUUUGGUUUCAGCUCUUUUUAAAAACCGCAUAUAUUUUACUCCCUCCUCUUCGAAUAUCAAUUACACGAAGUUGUAAAUUAUGGAGGUUUCAUUCACCACUGAAUUUUUAGGGUAUACCUAUCAAUUACCCUAAUUUUUAAAAAUCUUUUCUGUAACUCAUUAUCUUUGUAUCCUCUGCUAUUUCUCAAUAUAAACUAUAUGCAAAAUACAGACAAUGGUAUUAUGAGGUCUUAUGUACCCUUCAUCCAAACUUUAUUUUCUUUUUAUGGACAAUCUUCUUAAAUUUCUACUUCUAUCCACAUCACCCAACUACUUGUCAAUAUAUUUUGAAGAAAAUCCCAGAAGGUACGUCAUUUUAGAUACAAACAUAUUUAUGUGCAUCCAAUGAAUAAGAGAUCUUUUCCUUACGAGGUAAACGCCAUACCAUAAUCAGACAAAAAUUACAAUAAUUUCAUAACAUCAUCAAGUAUUCAAUGGGUACUCAAAUUUCCCUAUCUGAUAUUUCUCCAGGUUUGUUUGUUCGAAUUGACACUCACAUAGGAUAUCUACCUAUUGAGUUUUUGUUGAUGCCCAUAUUUUAAAUUCCUAAAACCACUAUUUUACACAUGAACUGGAAUACUUGUUUUUCCUUGGGUGAGCUUUUGUUUUCUUUUAGGUAGUGGUGAGUUUUCUGAAAUGUUUGAUGAUGUUUGGUUGCCUCCUCAUCUUUGUUCUGAGAAUUUCUGCUUGCAUCUCUAUCAAUCAGUUGCAGAUAUUGAUGCCAGGGAUGUUUCACUGAUGCACAGUCAGCUGGUCUGUGCUGGCUUCUGAAUGUCAGGUCUCCACAUUCCUCCUAGACUUUACAUAUAACCGAGAAUACCUGCUCUGCUUCUCUUACUCCCAAACCCCACCACCGGGGGUUGUGGGAGGAGGGCAGAGGGACAGGGGUACAAAUAUGCCUGUUUACUUUAGCUAAAGACAAGCGGUGUGAUGCAAAGGAGAAGGGGCCAAAUCAUCUGGUGCUACUAACGCAGGCUCGCAAUUGCCAUCCUGACUAUUACAAGAAGGACCUUCCUGGUUUUAUUUUAUCUUUAGAAUCUGUGCUUGUAGCAUGCUUAGGAGUGUCCCCAAUUCCGCAAUUAUAUAUUUGUACAAGUGUUAACAUCUGACUUUCUCUGGCCAUUGUAAGCUCAUCAUCUUUUUACUUUUUCAAUAUUUCCAAAAGUUUAUUUCCUGUCCAUGAUACACUGCAAGCAAAGUAAUAGAUAUGUAUACAUAAAUACAAAGAUACAAGUUUCAUAAAUAGAUACAUGGACAGCUAAUGUUCCCUCACUUUCUCAUGGUACAAAAAAAGCUAAACAUAUAUAUUUCCUCUAAUACCAAGGAAUUCAUGGUAGGAUAUGAGGUGGGUAAGGUGCUUAAUCUGACUGAUAGAUUCAAUACAUGGCCUAUUUAUUUCUAACUAUAAAUUAGGCUAAGUUGUGCUCUCUCUUUCUCCAUACAGGUAGAUGAAUAGAUAUAGACAUAUGAGUAAACCAUAUAUCUCUCUAUACCUAUCUAUCUGUGUAUAUAUUAUAUACAUAAAUAGAUCGAUGUAAACUAUUUCUAUCUAUCUAGACAUAUUAUAUAUAUAUAUAUGAAAUCUUACAUGGGCAGGUAGAUAGAUAUAUCUAUAGGCAGAUAGCUAUGUCUCGGUAGAUAGAUGUAUUACAGUUUAGAUAGAUAUGUACAGUUUACACAUCUAUAAAUAGACAUCUAUAAAUAGACAUAAAUGGAUAUCUAGAUCUACAGAUUUCUAUACAUAUCUAGAUCUAUAUCUACAAAUAGAUAAAGAUAACCUUAUAUCUGUAUAUCCGUAUCUAUAUAUCAACAGAUACAGAGUUUACACAUUUAUAGAGUUUUCUAUAGAUAACUCUGUAUCUGUAACCUCUGUAUCUGUAUAUCUAUAUGUACCUAUCUAUAUAUACACUAUAUAUCUAUCUAUAGAUACAUAUAUCAACUAUAAUAUGUUUUGGAUUUAUAUACAGUUUUGUAUUAUGAAUCUUAAGCUCUGUCACUCUAUCUCUCUGUCUCUUUCUCUAUGUCUUUAUCUAUUUCCAUCUCAGAGAGACAGAGACAGAAAGAAAGUUUAAAAUCAAAAACUGUAAAUAAAUUCAAAUUGGAUAAUAGCUCAAUAAUUUAUCUCAUUUUUAUGUCACUUAAUUCUUUCUAUUAUUUGGAUAUGCAUCAAUCCUUAAAAUAGCUAUGACCUAAUGAGAUGGAAAUUGCUCAAGGUAGGAGAUCUAGAUCCUAUUAACUUUGUGAUUUUAGUAAGAGUAUUGCUAGCUGUUCUUUAAUAAUGAGGUUAAAACUAAACUUUUAAUAUGAAGAUUUCUAAGCAUAAUAAAAUGUUGUUAUCCUUGAGAAUUAGAUAUCAUCGAAAGAAUAUUAAGAAUUAUGCACAUAAUUAAUUGAAAUAAAUUAACUUAGUGUUCUAAAAAUAAACUAACAUAGAGAGGUAUAUAUGUAAAUGUUAAGAUAUAUGACCAUGAUUUCUAUAAUCAUGUAUUUCAUAAAAAUAGAAUUUCAAAGACAUUGAGAAUAUUGACUUUAGAAACCAGAUUGAAGAAAAAAGCCAUGAUGCUACCUGCCCACAACACGUACUUUCACCAGAUAUCUGGAGGCCUGACAUAUGAAAACAAACAUUUUUUUUUUUCUUUGCCUCAUAGAGCAUAGUGAAAAUUUUGUGGGUGUAGUUAGAGAGUACAAACAUCAAAUCAUUAAUCAUGUUAUUAAAAAGCAAUACUGUCUAAUAAAAAUUAAGCAGUGCAUUUCAGUUUUCAGAAUUAUCCAAGCAGAGGCUAACUUAUUCAAGCAGAGGCUAAACAGAUGACAAUUUAUUCACCUGUUUACUUAAUUGUAGAUAGAAUUCAUGAUUUAAGAGAAUGCGUGAUAAAUGAGUGAGCGAGUUUUCACUAACACUCCUUCCUGCUUUAAGGUACUUUCAUUUUAUGUUGUUAUAUAAUGAACAAUGUUGUUACAUAUUUAUUUUACUAUUUUAUUAAAUUAUAUAUAAUUCAUAUAAUUACAUAUGAAUUUUACUAGGGAUAGGUUAGUAUGAAAAACAGUUUAUAGAAGGUUUACAUUAAUUGAAAAAUAACCUUUUGUCAUACUUUUGUUUAUUUCGCCUUACAAGCUUAGGCAUUUAAAACUUGAUUUACCUGAAAGUUGUUUCUUACAUUACAGACAUCCACUAAUGGCUUUAUUGCCUGUCUAAUGGUCAUUAAGUGAAAAUGGGCAUCUAGAAUAACACAGCUGGGGUCCACUUUACCAAGAUUCUUUUUAACACAGUUGGAUAUCUACAUGAUGUUCAUACCCACUGUUCUUUCUGAACAUUAGUGCCCCAUAACUGUCUUUUACAAUGUAAUUCAUUUUCUUUCUUCACUUAACUCUGUUGAAGGAAUCAAAAGGCUGAACCCGUAGUUGUACUAAGAAGGGGAGGGCAAAUGGUCUUGAAGAGUAGAAACACCUUACUUUAGAGGUAGCAUUAAGAUGAGCUUCUAUUGACUUGAGCUUAAAAAUUAAAAAAAAAAAAAUUACAAUCUCAGUAGUGCAUUUCAAAGGCUCAGAAUUAUUGAUUCAGACAUAAACCCAUGUUUAAAAAUGCUAACACAUAUGCAGUGUAACUAGUUUUACCAACUGGUAUACUGUUUCCCAUAAUGCAAAAUUUACUCUUGUGUUUAUUUUUUUUGUAUACUAAAAUAUUGAGAUUCUUCCCCGCAGUGUCCUGAAGCCCUCAAUGUUCGUAUAUCUCUUUAAGGUAUCUUAUGUGUAUGAAAUAUGGCUCUAAAAUGCUAGAUUUGGCCAACAACAACAACAACAAAAUCCCCCCACCUUUUUUUUUUUUUGAGACAGAGUUUUUCUUUUGCUCUUGUUGCCCACACUGGAGUGCAGUGGCGCAAUCCCAGCUCACUGCAACCUCCACCUCCCAGGUUCAAGCGAUUCUCCUGCCUCAGCCUCCCAAGUAGCUGGGAUUACAGGCAUGCACCACCACGCCCAGCUAAUUUUUUGUAUUUAGUAGAGACAGGGUUUCACCAUGUUGGUCAGGCUGGUCACAAACUCCUGACCUCAGACGAUCCACCUGCCUCGGCCUCCCAAAGUGCUGGGAGUACAGGCGUGAGCCACCAUGCCGGGCCCACAAAAAUCAAUUUUUAGAGCUGUUCAGUUCAUUAUGUUUAGAAGAACAGAUAAAUUGUAUACAACAAUAAUAUAGCUAUAUGUUAUAGUUAUUGUGUUUUUCAACAAAAUAGUUUAUUUGAAGGAUUGGUAUGUUGUUAACAGAUUUCUUAAAUAUAAUCAUACUUGGAUUAUGAACUGUCAGAUUAAAAAUAAUAUUAGUGCUUGUAUUUUUCUGUGUGUGUGUGUGUGUGUGUGUGUGUGUUAUGUUUUCACUAAUCGAAGAAGCUUGCUGGUAUUUCUUUCUUGGUCCUUGGAUACACUCAGGCUUUCUUUCUAAUACAACUCCCUCUAUGCAGAUAUACUCAAGAUGAGUCCUCCCUAUCUUGUGUUUAAUACAAGGUCAUGUAAUGCAAUAUAUUUAGUUAAUUAUACCUAACUUUUAAAAAGUCCUUUACGUGAACCUAUAAUUAUAUGUAUUUUUAUAUGUUACUAUGUUCUAAAGGUGUUUGAUGUUUAAAGUUCAUUUAGAAAUGUUCUUAUAAGUAGAAUUACUUCAACCAUCUGUACAGACUAGCAAAAUAUUAUUCUAAGUGUCUCCUUAUGUUUUAACCUGAACUCUCUCUCUGCUUUAAUUGCAAUAGCUAUGGCAACCACCCCAUCAAUGACAAAAAUCCUAGAAGGAUGUAUGUAUAGGAAGUUGAAGUGUUGAGAAGAGAAUGGCUCAGAGUCAAGCGGGAACAAGGUAAAAACAUCAAAAGGUUGUACUGGUGAUAAUGGCCAGGUGUGUGCCAUUAGUGCCUCCUUGAUAUUAAAAAAAUAUAUGGUGGAUCAACUACAUGUUAGUCAAUUCCAGCCUAGCAAUCAAGAGGAUAUUGAAAGGGAACUUUUCAACAAGAUAGCAAAUAAGUUAAGUGCAUGGACCAUGGACUUUCUCUCCAAUCUACUUGAUAUCUAAGCUUCACUAAGUAUCCAGAUGCCAUCUUGUGAUGAAAGAAAAUGCCAUUCUUAGUAAGAGGAAAGACAUAAUUACACCACAUAUGUUGCGAUACACUAAACACAUUUCUUUUUUUAUUACAUGUAAAUUUAAUUUCUCCUACCUUUUCCAGCUUUGAAUCAUUAAAUCCUGUGUAGGUCAGAUGCAGUUAAAAACAAAUAGGUCUUUACUCAACCAUGACUUUAAAAUUAAGGAUUAAUGUGUAUAUAUGGAAAAAUGUUUAUCUUUAAAUUCACGUUUUGUAGAAAUGAGCACACGCUUACUAAUAACAAAAGUUCAUAUUAACAUACUAAGAAGGCUUGAAGAAUAUAAAAUACAUUUGGAGAGACUAAAAUGUAAACUUUAUUGUGAUAAGCCUAUUGCAGGAAGAAUGCGUGAUACAGAUAUGCAUAAUGUGAUGUAGGGGAAGUAUUUUAAAACAAAAAGAAACAACUUUUGAGAUACCAAUGGUGGGUGUGAGUUGUGGGAGAGAUGGGUAAGUAAUGCAGAGCAACAAAAAUGUCUAGGAAUGCACAAGUAAGCAUGCUGGUUUCCAUUUCAGAUUCAAACUUCAGAGAGAGAGGGAAGAAAAACAUUUAAAUAUAUCUGGCAUAAUCCAAGACUAUUUACGACAAGUGUUCUGUGUUUCUAAUAAUAAAACAGACUUCACCUCGGAGUACCUGCAGAACUGGGACCCCAAUGACCAGGGAGAAUGAAGAACAACUUGUUGAAGGUAUAGAGAAGGCAGCAAAUCAUACAAGAAGGUCCAUCCCAAACCAGAGAUAGUAUAGAUAAAUCUCUCAUGUUAACUAUGGAAAAAAUAAAGGAAGAUGACGUAUUUUAAUAGAAGGGAAAUUGCGCUUAUUGGGAGUAAGAACACUGAAUUGACUGAAUAUCUUAAAGAGAGUUAGGAAGUGAAAUUCUCAACAGGUGAUUAUUCUUUGACCAAUUUUGUCUUAUCUCUUAUCCACAUUCUUCCCUGCUCUUCCCAAUACAUGUGUAAGAAUAUCCAAGGGCACACACAUACCAUAAGCAGGAAUGGUGUCCUAAGGAAAGUCAAUAUAGAGAGUAAGAAGUAUAUCUGUCACAAUGUGUACAUGUAUACAUCCUAAAUAUUUGUACAAUUAAUUUACUUCUCUUCAUUUCCAACACUCCUAGUCUAUGCUAUGAACAUCUCUUACCUAAAAUGCUACAGAUGUCCCCUAAAUUUUUCCAUAAAUCAGUUUUUUCCUCUCCAAGCUGUAAGCAGAAAUGCAUUUUUAAAUUGCAUAUAUGACCGUGACACGUAUCUGUCUCAGUUUAUAGAACAGGUCUCUAACAGGGCCAGCAGCUUCCAGUCACUUCUGUCCCUUACCUUUUCUCCAGUCUCAUUUUACAUAUUUUUUUACAUGCUCUCUAUAUUCCUGUAAUUAAAUAUUACUUUCCCCUCAAUGCCUUUGGACUGCUUCUUUCCUCCACAUUAAAUACUUUUUACCACUUCCCUCAGUUCAGUUCAUUCUCCUCCGUGUUUAGAGCUCAGCUCAGAUAUCCUUUUCUCAUGGAGACAUUCUCUGGCCAACCCAGACUAGAUCAUUUUCCCUUGCUGUAUACUUUCAUACCUCCCUCUGUCUUUCCUUCAUAACACUUUGGUAAGUGUGUACAACUGCAUCCUUGUUUUUAUUUAAUUUCCUCUCACUGCCAUGUUCUGUAAACUCAAUGCAAGCUGAGUCUGCCUAUUUAUUUCACUAUGCGACACCUAACUCCUAACAAAGUAUUAAACAAAAUAGGUGCCAAAAUAUCUGUUAAGCCAUUGUGUGAAUGUAUAAAUGAAUAAAGAUAUGAAUACAGAUACACUAGUCUAAACACGUUUGCAUGGCACAUACCUAUAUGUGUUCCAAAUAGAUAACAAGGAGAAUCACAAUUGAUCAUUGCCAGAAGAAAAAUCUGGUAAAACUUUUACUUUCCAGAUAUUUAAAUAGCAUUCAUGUUAAAAUUUUUAGUUCACUUUUAUAAUGCAUUGAAAAUACUUAGGGACAUUAUUUACUUAUCAGAAGUUUAUUUUACUCUUUGAAAAUAUAUUGCUUACUGGACUAUUCACAAUAGCAAAGACAUGGAAUCAACCUAAGUGUCCUUCAGUGGGGGGACUAAAUAAAGAAAAUGUGGCAUAUAUAUACCAUGGAAUACUACACAGCCAUAAAAAAACAAAAUUAUGAUUUUUUUUUUUUUUUUGGCAGCAACAUAGAUGCAGCUGGAGGCCAUUAUCCUAAGUGAAAUAAUGCAGGAACAGAAAACCAAAUACUGCUUAUAAGGGAGAGCUAAACAUUACUCAUAGAAAUAAAGAUGGCAACAAUAGACAUUGGAGACUACUAGAUGGGGAAGGGAUGGAUUAAAAGGGCUGAAAAACUAACUCUUGGGUACUACGCUCACCUCCUGGGUUACAGAAUCAUUCUUAUCCUAAACCUUAGCAUACACAAUAUACCCAGGUAAGAAACUUGCACAUGUACCCCCAAAUCUAAAAUAAAAGUUGAAAAUUAAAAAUAUAUGCAUAUUGCUCAUUGAGAUAGACUACAUAUUGAGAGAUUAGCUCUAUGAAGAUAACAUGAACCCUAAAUUGUGUGAUUGAGAGAAUUCUACACAUUUAUUGGCCUUCAUUUUAGAUAACAUGUUAAAUAAUUCAAUAAUGAACAUUUGACUGUGCAACCUCUUCAUAUAAAUGUGCAUAUUAGUCAAGGGGCUGUAUUAUUAGCUUAACAACUAAAGUCUAUUUUUUUUUUUGCAUGUGCAAAGUCCAAUGUAGAGGUGUCUGGAAGAUCUUUCCUAAAUGUGACUCUGUCACCUAAGUGGAUUGCAUUGUCAUGGAAGCCACUAUUUCAAGCUGUAGCCUCUAAAAUCUCUACAGCCAGGGUUGGGACUAAUAUUCAACCCUUAAACUAUCAUUGCAUUGAUCAGUAAUCAAUCACCUAGUUAUGCCUCACUUCGAUAGAGCUAGGAGAGGCAGUUUAUGGCUGUAUCAGAAAUAGGAUGAAGGUGCCUGGGCAUGGAGGCUCACGCCUGUAAUCCUAGCACUUUGUGGGGCUGAGGCAGAAGGAUUGCCUGAAGCCAGGAUUUCGAGAGCAGCCUUGGUAACAUGGUGAGACCUUGUGUCUACAAAAAGUAAAAAUAAUAAAAUUUAAAAAAUACCCAGAUGUGAUGGUGUGCGCCUGUAGUCCUAGCUACUUGAGAAGCUGAAGUGGGAAGAUUUCUUGAACCUAGGAGUUCAAAGCUGCAGUGAGCUAUGACCAUGCCCCUUAAACAGUGAAACAGUGAAAAAAAUAGCAUAAAGGAAUAUGUACUGUAAUAUUUAAGUAUUGGAUUUUUAGUAAUGAAAAGUUUCUAAUGGUUAACUGUGUUUCCCCACAAAGAUACGUUUAAUUCCUAAUGCCAUGUACCUGUGAAUGUAACAAUAUUUGGAAAUUAGGUCUUUGCAGAUAUAAUUAUUUAAGAUGAGGUCCUAAUAAUUUGUGGUAGGUCCCAAUUCCAUAUGACUGCUAUUCUUAUAAGAUGAGAAAACAGAAACACAGAAAAAAGGCUUGAAAAAAUACAGACAUAGAAAGGCAGAGACUGGAGUUGGGCUGCUACAGCCAAGGAAUGCUUGGGGCUCCCAGCCGUUGGGAGAGUCAGGGAGAUGCUCCCCUACAGGAUUAGAAAAUAUAUGGUCCUGCUCACAUAUUCAUUCUGGACUUGUAGCCUCCACAACUACAACUAUGAGACAACAGAUUUAUGUUGUUUUAAGCCACCCACUUUCUGGUACUGUGUUACGGCAGUCCUCUAAGAUGAGAACAAUAUAGAAAGUCAGUCAUAUCCUUCCAGAAAUUAACAAGCUGGAAUCACAUUUUAUUCAUUGGCCUAGUAAAUUCCUUUGCCAUUCUCAGUAUUUCUAGAAAAAUAUCGGGUUGUUGUGUUUUAUUUUUAUUUUUUAUUUUUUGUCUGAUAAUGAAAAGGAUAAAAAAUCAGCUAAAUAACAGGAUUUUUGUCAUUUGAGGAUAUCACUUACUAACAAGAGCUUACAUAUUUGAAUGGACCAACAGGUAAAUAACAGGUACCUGUAGGCCAUCCGUAUUGUCAAACUAAGUGUAAAUUACAAAACAUAGAAGACAUACUUAGGAUUCAAACAAUAAAGAUUCAGAGAAGAGCAAUUGCAAUCUCUCUCCUAUGCACAGAAAACUGAGUGAAGCAUUUUAUAUUUUAAUUUGUGUUUAGUGGUGAUGACAAGCUCAUCAAAGAAUGGAACAUUGAUGCCUCAGCAUUAUAGGAGACAUAAUCUUCAUAGCCCUAAAUGCUGCACAGGCAGGUACAGAAUUGGGCGCAUGUCUCAUGGUGGCCAGCAGCUUGCCUUCAUAGAAAGGAUGCUCGUUGAGCAGAACUCCAUGCACUGGUUACCAUGCCAGGGAAGGACUCCAACUACAUGGAGGAUAGCAAAGCUCAUCCCAAAGCCAGCCGACAGGAAGAGAAAUCUAAACAUGUCUACUCAGUGCAACUUCCUAUGGCAAUUGCCAAGGAAAACAUGAUAGAGGCAAGCACUGGAUUCAACAAUGUGUUUCCUGAAUAGAAAAGAGACAGAGCUAGAUUAGCUACAGUGGCGUGCCUCAGUCCACCAUGGCUAGUGGCUGCCCUUGGAAAUCAACACAGGGCAACUGGCUUACAUGUACCAGAAUAGAAGGACUGCAAUCUGUCCCCUAUGAAGUCUGAAGUACCAAAAUCUGAGGGCAUAUCUGAGGGCCACUGACACACAUGCUUGGCCUGGAUAAAGGAGGAGCACACCUUGAGUCUGAAACGGGAAAAGAUAUCCCCACACGAGGUGAUAAGCCCAGCACAGGCUGUGUGGACUCUUGUUCUCUUGGGAUGGAAGUGUUUCAGGCCCAGUGCCCAUUCCUAUUCUUAUGUGGCUGAGCAGAAAUCAAAGACUGCAAGGACGAGACUACCUAGCCCAACAAUCAUAAACUUCAGUUCUGAACAGAGGCUGCAAGUCCACCCAAUCCACUUUUCCUCAAUUUCCUUUUCUUUGCCUGACUUUUUCUUUAUUAUCAUUUUGAGUAUUCCAGAAACCCAUUAUAAGUCAUUACUUCACUGCAGUCACAAGGUCCCUAAGGGAAGAACUUGCCCCUCCUUUUUUGGGCCCCUAUGUGACACGUCAGAUCUUUAGUUCAGGUUUGUCAAUACUAUUUCUCCACUUCUUUUAUAAGCUAUUAAUUCAGUUUCCAUGACACCAAACUCCUUAUCCUAUUUCAUUGACCACAUGGUUACUGUUCUCAUUAAUUAUUGUGUCUUUUACUUAAUGGCUCUCUCUCUCUCUCUCUUUAAUUUUAUCUUCUCACUCUACACUCCCUUUUUUGAUAAACUGUCUAUUCCUAUGGUAUACUUGGCCAUCGUAAUUGUGGUAAUGUCCAGAUUUCUAUUUCUCAUAUCACCUUCUUCCUUGAGUAUGGACUCAUGAUUCUGCUUCCUACUGGGAAGUUCUGACAACAUCUAUAAUUUACAUGGGUCCAUAUUGAACUUUUUUUCUUACAUUCCUUUCCCUUAAUAACAGCACUUCUUAUCUGCACUACUAUGUACAAAUUUCAUGAUAGGAAAUCCAAGGCAGAAUUAUCUUGGUGACACUCAUGGGUGUACCACUAUUAAGAUUCUUCUGUCACUCAUUUUUUGAUCAUGAAUUUAUAGUGACUAACCAGAUAUAUAGUACAUGACAUAAAAUUGAAUCAAUUAUCUAAAAAACAAAACAAAACUACCAGUGGUAAAUGGAUGAUUUUCAAAUAUGGCAUUUCAGGCUGUUAUAAGAAAACUUUUACACAAAUUAAAUUAAUGAUAUUUAUCUGAGCAAGAACAAUUGAUAAAUUAGGCCGCACUCUAAAACAGAACAGAUGCAGAGAGUUCUGCUGAACAGUGUGAGCAGUGGGUUUUUAGAGGCCAAACACAGAAGCAAAUUAGAAAAUCCUCUGAUUGGCUACAGGUAGGUGUCUGACUUAUUUGUUGGUGCAAAGAGGCAUUUCUUUUGCGGGGGCAAGUCUGAUCAGUUGUUUGCCUGUGAUUGGCUGAAGCUCAGUUGUAUGUAAUUGGUAGAAAUCUGGCUAUUUGUUAUGAAAUAAUAUUCUCCUAAGUUAGAUUUUGGUUUAUGUACUAAUUUAGGUUGCAGUUCGUUAUAUAGCAACUCAAAGUACAGGGAUAGCCUCAGACAUUAACUGAGGUCUCCUAUUUUUUAAUUUAAUAAUACAAGAACAGUCUUCCAAGAUCCAAAUACACAUUUUAAAAUUCUGUACAUCUAUAACUUCACCACAUCAUAUCCAAAUUGUAUCCUACUUUUUUGCCUUUUAUAUUAAUAUUUAUAAUAAAAUUUGUAUAAUAUUAAGUAUAAUUAUUUCAUUUAAUAGUAUUCACUUAAUGGUACUCAUGCCACUCAUUUGCCCAAGCUAAAUCUUACAGUCUUUCCAGUUCUUACAAUUUUAAAAAUCUCCUCGUAUUCAGGAAAUCAUCAAGACCGCUAGCAGGAGAACUCCCUUACAGACCUAGACCUCCCACCUCUAGACUCAUACAUGAGAGAGAGAGAAAGUUUUGCUUUUCUCAAGACACAGUUCUUUUGAGUGCUUCUUUUACUUUCAGCCAAACUUAGUUCCAUUUAAUAGGUUUUAAUAUAUACUUAAACAAAUUAUUAUAGUAAAAGUAAUGAAGUAAAAUUAUUUCAACUUACAACAAUAUAAAAUAAACGUUUCGUAGGGAAAUGAACAGAACUACUUAAAACUUCAGAACACAAGGCUAUUUUACUAGAUUUUGUUCAGUUUAAUAGAAGCGUGUUCCACAUCACAGACAAGAUUCCAGUGUUUAGUUGCGAUACUGGCCAGAAGGAGGAUCCCUUCUGAGAUGUGAUCACUGUCAAGAAAGACUUAACACAUGAGAGAGAUCUGCAAUUCCAUUGCCAAUCAUUCAAAGUUCCUUGAAGAUCAACAAUUUCAUCGAGAAAGACUUGUUCUUUGAAAUUUAGAAUAUCCAGAACUUUUCUUACAUAAUAGCCUAUAAACUUCAGUAUAAAACAAUAAUCAUUAAUAGUCACUGGUUUAUUUCUUUAAAAAUCUUGUCAAACAAUUUUAAAAUUCAGCGGAAUCGCUCCUUAAUGCAAUUAAGAUGUUUAGCAGCUUUAAGUAGUUAUCUUAACAUUUCUGUAUCUCCAGGGUCAAAGUGUCAUAUUCAUGGCUAGAUUUUGUAGCAAAAGCAGCAGUUUAUCUAUGUGAAACACCUCUUAUUGGUUCAGCUUAUCUCAAUAUGUUAUUUCUAUGCCAUGGUGAUAUUUGCUAUGAAAGCACUGAUAUAUUUUAGAAGAUAUUCUCCAUUCAUAUGGGUCCUUCUAGUUUGGCAGAGCUAAAUGGACUUCGUUAUUUAUAUUUCAUCUGACAAAAUGGAAAAGUUUAGGUGAACUGACAUGACCAGAUUUUGUUUGUAGUACACUAUUUUGAUUUGAAUUAUUAUAGAUAAUUUACAUUUCUAAAUGCAUCUCUAAUUCCAAAAUGAAGAACUACUGUACUUCAGCAAUGAUACUGUUUUUCUGGCUCCAGAUCAUUUUAAAGCAGGUUUAAUAAGGACCCUGAGAAUUAUCUCAACUGUGAUAACUGCUGUGAUAUUUGCAAUAAAAUGUUAUAAAAUAACUACUUAAUACUUACUGUAUUAGUCAAUUCUUACAUGGCUAUAAAGAACAACCUGAGACUGGAUAAUUUAUGAAAAAAAGAGGUUUAAUUGACUCACAGUUCCAUGGUCUGUACAGGAAGCAUGGCUGGUAAGCCUCAGGAAACUUACAAACAAGACAGAAAGUGAAGGGGAAGAAAGCACAUUUUACCAUGGUGGAGCAGGGGAUAGAGAGAGCAAAGGGGGAAGUGCUACACACUUUUAAAUGACCAGACCUUGAGAGAACUUAUUAUCACGAGAACAACAUGGCGGAAAUCCGCCCACGUGAUCCAAUCACUUUCCACCAAAUCCCUCCUCCAACAUUGGGGCUUACAAUUCAACAUGAGAUUUGGGUGCCGACACAGAGCCAGACCAUAUCGCUUGCAAUGUUUCCCCCUGUUGUGCUACAUUUUGUUUAUCAGGACUAUUGCAAUUUUAGACUUGGCUUUAACAAUACAUUAAAUUUAAUUCAGUUACUUGUACCUUCAAGAGAUUUUUCAGGCUGGAUAGCUCUGAUCCUGAAGAUGAGACCAGAUUUAAAUUAAAAAAAAAAAAAGUUAACUUUCAUUACCAAGCUGCGAAAAUCUAAAUUUUAAAUGUUAAUUUUUUAUCAAAUUUGUUAAUUUUAUUUCAUUUAAAGCUGAAAAUUUUAAAAUGCAAAAAAUAGGUUCUAUUGUCAUUGUGUUUUGAUCUGGGUUUUAUAAACCUAUCUCAUUAUAUUUAUUCAUUCAGAAAAUAUUUAUUGAGUGUCUCAGUUCUAGGUGCUAUAGAUUUAUUAAUAAACUCAACAGACACAAAUAUUUGGCAGUUUUGUUCACAGUCACCAAUAAUAUUCAUCAUUUCAAUAUUUAGCUGUUAAAAAAAUUAAUCACUAAUAUAGUAUGCAUUCCAAAAUGAAAGAGGAGAGAGGAAGGGAACAUAACUAAAUACCAAUCUAUACUUUCUAUAUUUAUACAAAUUCCAUACACUAAACAAUUAUUAGUAAUUAGAGGUAACAUUUUAACCUUUAAUUUAAAAUAAUGUAAAAAUUCAUAAUGAAGUCUAGUACACGAUAAUUCUCAUUAAUAAUUUAAAUAAUUUAUACCAAGUAGUUAUAGUGGUUGAUUCAAUGAAAGACUUAUUGGAAUUCAUGCCUAUAAUUUAUAAGAUCUGCCACCCUACCAGCCUUACUGUUUUUCUCAUUGGUAAUAUUCAUGAAGUCACUGGUAAUUUUACAUUUUAAAAUAUGCAGUAUGAAUUGCAUAUAUAGUACUUCUUAAAUGUCAACACAUUUAUCUUAAAUCAUUUAUCGAAGUAUGAGAAGUACCUAUCAUAUUUUGGUAAAUAAUACCUUUAGGUUUUUCCUAGUUCUUGGCUCCAGACUAACCAUCUUGACCUGUCAUUCUAGUUUUUACUUCUGAGACAUUCUAUAGUCUGUGUCUGAUAUUCUCUACUAUUUCCUCAUUUGUCCUUGCAUUCAGAUUGCCUUUUCUGACUCCCAGCUUCCACGGAGAGAUUAACUCUGUUGGCUGAAGCCCUAUUCCCAAUUCCUUGGCUAGACCCUGGGUCCUUCAUGUUAGAAAACCUGGCUUUACUACUACUACUACUACUACUACUACUGCUGCUGCUGCUGCUGCUGCUGCUGCUGCUGCAUUUUUUAAAAAUAUAUUAUCUUAUUUUACUAUUUGAUGUUAUAAUUGUUAUAUAUUUUUCCACACUUCCUCAUACUGCUUAUCUCUUACUUAAGAAUUUAUGAAUAAAGAAUUGAUUUUUCA